rnacentral:rRNA from 1 species
UACGUAGGGUGCAAGCGUUAAUCGGAAUUACUGGGCGUAAAGCGUGCGCAGGCGGUGAUGUAAGACAGAUGUGAAAUCCCCGGGCUCAACCUGGGAACUGCAUUUGUGACUGCAUCGCUAGAGUACGGCAGAGGGGGAUGGAAUUCCGCGUGUAGCAGUGAAAUGCGUAGAUAUGCGGAGGAACACCGAUGGCGAAGGCAAUCCCCUGGGCCUGUACUGACGCUCAUGCACGAAAGCGUGGGGGAGCAAACAGG